UUAAGCAAGUAGUGAACGGGUGAGUAAUGUAUCAGAAUUUAGUUAACAGUCUAGAAUAAUCUCGAAAGGAUGUAAAUCUAGAUAUAAUAAAAGAAAAUAUUUGCUGUUAGAUAAGCUGAUAUAAGAUUAAGUUGUUGGUAAGGUAAAAGCUUACCAAGCUAAUGAUCUUUAGCUGGUAUGGAAAUACGGCCAGCCACAUUGGGACUGAGAUAUGGCCCAAACUUCCACGGAGGUCAGCAGUGAGGAAUUUUGGACAAUUAGCUAGCGCUUGAUCCAGCGAUACUUCUUUGGUUGGAACAGAAGGUAUAAUGCCGUAAACCCAUUUUUGCCAGAAAGGAUAAUGACUAUAUCUGGAGAAUAGAUAGCCCCGGCCAACUCUGUGCCAGCAGCCGCGGUAAGACAGGGGGGGCUGGUGUUAUUCUACGUGACUAGGCGUAAAGGGUGUGUAGAUUGCGGUUAAGUUCUUUAGUCAAAUUCUGUGGUGAAGCCAUAGGUCUGCUUUAGAUACUUUAAGCUUGAGUUUAUUGGGGAUAGUAGAAUUUUUAGUGUAGGGGUUAUAUCCUGUGAUAUUAAAAGGAAUACUGAUGGCGAAGGCUUCUAUCUGAGUAAAACUGACAUUUAAACACGGAGGUAUGGGUAGCAAACAGGAUUUGAUACCCUGGUAGUCCAUACAGUAAACGAUGGGUAUUCGGUCAUUAGAAAUUUUUCUAGUACCCUAGCUUACGCGUUAAAUACCCCGCCUGGGGAGUACGCCCGCAAGGUUGAAACUUAAGGGAGCUGGCGGGAGUUUUUACAAGCGGUGGAGCAUGUGCUGCAAUUAGAUAUUCCGCAAAAAAUCUUACCGGCUCUUGCACAUAAGACUCGAUCACUUCAUUGAGAAAUUGAAGUUUAAAUGCGAGUAGACAGGAGUUGCAUGGUUGUCAUAAGCCCAUGUUGUAAAACUUUAGGUUAAUUCUUAAUAACGGGCGUAAUCCUUUAUUUUAGCAAAGCUUAAUAAUUAAGCUUUUGUUAAAAUUAGAUAUCAUAUUGCAAAUUUUGUGAAAAUGAGGAAGAUGUCAAAUCAUCAUGGCCUUAACGAGCCGGGCUAACCAUGUGCUACAUAGAUUAUUACAAAAAGUAGCCAGAAUUUUUUAGGAGCCAAUCUUUAAAAAGUAAUCUUGGUACCGAUUACUUUCUGAAAUUUGGAAGUAUGAAGAAGGAAUCGCCAGUAAUCGUAGAUUAGCACGCUACGGUGAAUUAGUACUGGGGCUUUGCACAAAUCGCCCGUCGCGCUCUGAAGGUCGGCUUGCGUAAAAUAGGUUAUGGUUUUUUGAAAAUAAUAAUUUUCAAAACAAUUAAUGCUUAUGUGUGUGAUGUUGACAAUU
rnacentral:rRNA from 1 species